rnacentral:lncRNA from 1 species
CAACAACUCCAACAUUGAAAACAUCAUAGAAGAUGCAUAUGAACUCAUUGAUGAACUCGAGCUUGUCAUGAAGAUGAUUGUAAGCUCUAAGACCCUCACAGAGAAAAGUCAAACAAGGACCAAGAAAGAUGAUGAUGCCAAGAAUGCAAUGGUUUGAGCUCUCAAUGAAUGAUACGAUCAAGCUACUCACUCUUGAGAGAGAGCCCCCUCUCCUUGAUAGAAUGGCAGUCGAUCCUAUAAUUCGGUCUCCCAACUAACACCAUGAGACCGGUAAAAUGGAAAACAUAUGAAGGGCAAACAUUUGCCUUGUGCAUAGUCCACUUGAGCUAGGUGAUGACAAUAUUGUCCUCCUCAAGAUGGACCAUCUUUCUUGAUUGCGUCGGCUCGAUGAAUACUAGUAGAUUCCCC